AUAAACUGGGAAUUUUCAAAAUUGAAGGUUGGCUCUUCUUAGGGAACUUAAAUAUAGUUGAGCAAAGUAUAUUUUAGCAUAAUAUUGACAAAAACAAACAAAUGCAAUUCAAAUACACUUGAAUAUCCAUGCCAUUCCUUAAUCACAUGUACAGAGCACAUGCUUGCUGCAUGGCUAUUGAGACCACCUACUGGCACUGUGCAUGCCUCCAUCACAUGUACACAUGGACCACACUUUUGAGCCUGAAGGACAAAGAGUAUUGAAGGCACACAUUUGAGCCUGUGGACUUAACAAGUGAGAUCAUUCCAGGGGCUCGUUCUUCGUACGUCGCUAACUCAGUUAACCUUUUGAAUGGGACUUUGUGGAGAUUUUUGGACAGGGGGCAUUUUUGAAUGAGCGGGGUUAGGGGAUGGUAAUAUUGAACUCAACAUUUCUGUUUUUAUUCAUCCAUGAAACAAGUUAUUGAAACGUGUUCUAUUCUACUGUACUUACAAAUAAAUCUGUUGAAAACA